rnacentral:lncRNA from 1 species
UUCACCAUCCUUGGUUCAUUAAUAGGUUGUGGCUAUUGCUAGCACAUAAUUUGAAGUUUUGCAAGUGUAGACAUCUAUUGAUGCAGUAGGAUGCUACUAAUGGCUGCAAAAACUAAUUCUAGAAUGCCAAGCAAGGAACUGAGUGUAUUCUUAAUGUAAAGGGGGACUAUUGAUGGCUUUGAUAGAUGCCAAUGGUAGUCAAAGUUGCUAAGGUUCAAAUGCCACUCUUCACAUAACAUGGUUUGAAUUUCAUGUACUCAUGGCAAAUUAAGUGUUGCAAUAAAGGUCCUUGUACCAAGUUUUAUAUUGCUUGUGGUACACAAAGGUGCAAAUUUAAACUAUAAGGCAUGAAACCAUGAAUACUAUUGCUCAUGUUUUUUGACUACUCAUGAUAUGAAGUUCACUUGCUCAUAGAACUUUUUCAAUACAUAAUGAUA